rnacentral:rRNA from 1 species
UACGUAGGUGGCAAGCGUUGUCCGGAAUUAUUGGGGCGUAAAGCGCGCGCAGGCGGUCCUUUAAGUCUGAUGUGAAAGCCCACGGCUCAACCGUGGAGGGUCAUUGGAAACUGGGGGACUUGAGUGCAGAAGAGGAAAGCGGAAUUCCACGUGUAGCGGUGAAAUGCGUAGAGAUGUGGAGGAACACCAGUGGCGAAGGCGGCUUUCUGGUCUGUAACUGACGCUGAGGCGCGAAAGCGUGGGGAGCAAACAGG